rnacentral:rRNA from 1 species
AACCCUACGGGAGGCAGCAGUGAGGAAUAUUGGUCAAUGGACGAGAGUCUGAACCAGCCAAGUAGCGUGAAGGAUGACUGCCCUAUGGGUUGUAAACUUCUUUUAUAUGGGAAUAAAAUGUUCCACGUGUGGGAUUUUGUAUGUACUUUAUGAAUAAGGAUCGGCUAACUCCGUGCCAGCAGCCGCGGUAAUACGGAGGAUCCGAGCGUUAUCCGGAUUUAUUGGGUUUAAAGGGAGCGUAGAUGGGUUGUUAAGUCAGUUGUGAAAAUUUGCGGCUCAACCGUAAAAUUGCAAUUGAUACUGGC